rnacentral:rRNA from 1 species
UACGUAGGGUGCAAGCGUUGUCCGGAAUUAUUGGGCGUAAAGAGCUCGUAGGCGGCUAGUCACGUCGGAUGUGAAAACCCGAGGCUCAACCUCGGGCCUGCAUUCGAUACGGGCUGGCUAGAGUACUGCAGGGGAGACUGGAAUUCCUGGUGUAGCGGUGAAAUGCGCAGAUAUCAGGAGGAACACCAAUGGCGAAGGCAGCUCGCUGGAACGGUACUGACGCUGUGGCGCGAAAGCGUGGGGAGCAAACAGG